ACGUUUUGAAAAACAACAGUAUUUCCUGAACAAACGCUCCCUUUCCCCUACUAACAUAGCUUCUUUUCAGAGAUUGUGACCGCGCGCAAUGCGGCCAAUAGAGUCAGUGUUUGUCGCGUAACAUUUUUAGUAUUUUUCACAGCAACACAGCUCUUAGUAAUUAUAAAUUCAAUUAUAAGUUGUUCCCGAAAUUAGAAUCAUUGUUUGUUCGCCGAUUGUUAUUUGAACGCGCGCGUUGAUAGUCUUUUAUUUUCCUUUUUUUUUGUAUAAGUGUGUGUGUUAUAUUUUAAAUAUUCGUCUCGGUACUAGAGUCAGUGCUUCUCUCAAGAGGAUACAGCCUCUCCGGGAGCCAAAAAUAAUAUUUCAAACUUUUGCUUUUUCCUAUUUUCUGGGGAGAAUGUAGCAGUGCUCCAAAAAUCUACAACGACCUGCACUUCUAUCAUGGGAUAGAACUUUGCGAUGACAAUCUUGGUGCUUUGGAAGCCAAAAUUAUUUUUCAUAACUGGCAUUUCUACCAUGGGAUCAAUUCUUCUUGGUGACAGUCUUCAAGAUGACUUUCCACGGGCUAUCACAGCAUCGCAGCAUCGAUUACUACAUUCCUCACAUCUAAUUGUGAGUCGCAUGCCUUUUGGUUCCUCUGGUCACUCAAUCAUGUCGUAGGAUGAAAGAUCCGAAUCGACACGGGUGAUUGGUUGUAUUACGUAGAAUUUUUUGCGAGCAUAGUGACUGCGGGUAUCUGUUAUACCCGUGAGUGAUAAUAUUUUU